rnacentral:rRNA from 1 species
UACGAAGGGGGCUAGCGUUGCUCGGAAUCACUGGGCGUAAAGCGCACGUAGGCGGAUUGCUAAGUCAGGGGUGAAAUCCUGGAGCUCAACUCCAGAACUGCCUUUGAUACUGGCGAUCUUGAGUCCGGGAGAGGUGAGUGGAACUGCGAGUGUAGAGGUGAAAUUCGUAGAUAUUCGCAAGAACACCGGUGGCGAAGGCGGUCUUCUGGACGGUGACUGACGCUGAGGCGCGAAAGCGUGGGUAGCAAACAGG